CCUACGGGAGGCUGCAGUGGGGAAUAUUGCACAAUGGGGGAAACCCUGAUGCAGCGACGCCGCGUGAGUGAAGAAGUAUUUCGGUAUGUAAAGCUCUAUCAGCAGGGAAGAAAAUGACGGUACCUGAUUAAGAAGCCCCGGCUAACUACGUGACAGCAGCCGCGGUAUUACGUAGGGGGCACGCGUUAUCCGGAUUUACUGGGUGUAAAGGGCGCGUAGACGGCAGCACAGGUAUGGAGUGAAAUGCCGGGGCUUAACCCCGGAACUGCUUUGGAAACUGUGUGGCUAGAGUGCAGGAGAGGUAAGUGGAAGUCCUAGUGUAGGGGUGAAAUGCGUAGAUAUAAGGAGGAACACCAGUGGCGAAGGCGACUUACUGGACUGUAACUGACGUUGAGGCUCGAAAGCGUGGGGAGCAAACAGGAUUAGAUACCCUUGUAGUC
rnacentral:rRNA from 1 species